AUUGAACGCUGGCGGCAUGCUUUACACAUGCAAGUCGAACGGCAGCGCGGGGCAACCUGGCGGCGAGUGGCGAACGGGUGAGUAAUAUAUCGGAACGUACCCAAGAGUGGGGGAUAACGUAGCGAAAGUUACGCUAAUACCGCAUACGAUCUAAGGAUGAAAGCAGGGGACCGCAAGGCCUUGUGCUCCUGGAGCGGCCGAUAUCUGAUUAGCUAGUUGGUAGGGUAAAGGCCUACCAAGGCUUCGAUCCGUAGCGGGUCUGAGAGGAUGAUCCGCCACACUGGGACUGAGACACGGCCCAGACUCCUACGGGAGGCAGCAGUGGGGAAUUUUGGACAAUGGGCGCAAGCCUGAUCCAGCCAUGCCGCGUGAGUGAAGAAGGCCUUCGGGUUGUAAACCACUUUUGUCAGGGAAGAAACGGCUCUUACUAAUAUUAAGAGCUAAUGACGGUACCUGAAGAAUAAGCACCGGCUAACUACGUG
rnacentral:rRNA from 1 species